UUCUGAACUUCCAGAACUCCAGAAAGCCUUUCAGCCCAAUUUAAUAUGGAAUAAAGCAAAAAGCAUGGUUUGAUUCCAGACCAAGUCGGUCAGGCAACAGUUAGAUAAGUAUAAUUAGACUUGUAAUUGGAAUGCGUUGUAGACAAUUAGUUUUUGUAAAUGUGUGUAAUUUAAUCCCAAGUAAAGGGUCAGGAGGACCUUGCUGUGAAAGAGGUUAAGGAGUAACAUGUAUAAUUUCCAGGCCUUCUGAUGCUCAGCUGGAGAAGAGCAUGUCCAUCUUUCCAAUGGCAGCAAAAAAUCCACCCUCCCCAAGAGCUCUGGAAUGCUGUGAAGACUCCCUGCCCAGGCACACUCCUCUCCGGAUUAUCUCCAUCCCAAGGAAGCUCGUAUCCAAGAGGUACCAAUUCAUCCUCGUUUUGUGCCCUUCAGUUGUAGCACUUGGGUUUAGCUACUCCCCCAAAACCUUUUCUCUGCUCCCUCCAGACAGGAAAGCCUUGGAUGCCGUGGAGGUUGCAGCUGUUGCUGUUUGAUACGGUUCGGACUCUUCUUUCUAUUAAAUGAUCUUUGCUACAGAAGCGCUUUACAUUUUAAAAUGAGAAGUGAUUUCUGGGUCAAGAAAUGCAUAAGCUGAAGCUCCAGAAACACUCUGUGCCUGGUGUAUUUUAUUGUGUUGAUUUAGAAAGUUAAUAAACAUCAGGUCUUCAGCA
rnacentral:lncRNA from 1 species